CUGUCUCCUGGAUGGCGCUGUCUUC
rnacentral:misc_RNA from 1 species